rnacentral:lncRNA from 1 species
AUGAGCCCACGAUCUCAGCUGGGUGAUUUGCACGUUUACAAUCUCAAGCUCAUGCAUUUGGUAAGGAGUCCUUCAUGUGUGCCCCAAACGAUCACUGCCAUACACAAGCACCGAUCACACACAUGCCCAUGCGUACACUCAUACAUAUGCAUGCACACAUACACACCUACACAUGCAUGCAUACACAUACACACAUACAAACACACGUACACAUACACACCUACACAUGCAUGCAUACACAUACACACAUACAAACACGUACACAUACACACCUACACAUGCAUGCAUACACAUACACACAUACAAACACACGUACACAUACACACCUACACAUGCAUGCACACACAUACACACAUACAAACACACGUACACAUACACACCUACACAUGCAUGCAUACACAUACACACAUACAAACACACAUACACAUAUACACACACACAUGCAUGCACACACAUGCAAUAUGCACAUGUGUACACAUAUACGUAUGUGCGUACAUACACAUGCAUGUACACACAUGCACGUGCAUAUACACAUACAAAUGCAUGCGCACACGUGCACAUGUGUACACACGUGCAUGCACACCUGCACACACACUUAUACACACAUGCACUCUCACUUGCACACACAUGCACACACGCAUGCCUGUACAAAGUCACACAUAUAAACAUACAUAUGCACUCUCACUUGUACACAAGUGCCUGCACACACAUGAACACAAUCACUUGCACACACAUACACACAUAUGCACGUACACAUAUACACACAUGCAUACACACAUACACAUGCAUGUACAUACAUACACAUGCACGCAACAUGUACGUGUGCAUAUACAUAUGCAGGCACAUAUACACAUGCAUGUACACGUGCACAUGCAUAAACAUACAUGCACACACGCAUACCCCAUGUACACACAUAUGCACACAUGCACACACAUAUAUGCACACGCAUGCAUACAUAUGCCUGCAGGCACGCACACAUGUACACACAUGCACGCACACACCACAUAUACAUAUGCACUCACUUGCACACCAGCACACAUGCAAAUACACACAUGCACUCGCGCUUGUACACACAUACACGAUGCACACAUGCAUGCUUGCACAGAGGCACACUAUAAACACAUAUGCACUCACUCGUACACGAGUGCUUGCACACACAUGAACACACACAUACGCACAUGCAUACACCAUGCAUGUUUAACACAAGACCUUCUUUAG